GCUGGGCAUGGUGGUACAUGCCUGUAGUCCCAGCUACUAGGGAGGCUGAGGCAGGAGGAUUGCUUGAGCCCAGGAGUUCCAAGACCAGCCUGGACAAUAUAGCAAGACCCUGUCUCUA
rfam:Homo sapiens chromosome 15, GRCh38 reference primary assembly.